GAUUAAGCCAUGCAUGUGUAAGUAUAAAUAGUUAACUUUGAAACUGCGAAUGGUUCAUUAUAUCAGUUAUAGUUUAUUUGAUGAAGAAUACUAAUUGGAUAACCGUAGUAAUUCUAGAGCUAAUACAUGUAUAAAGUCUUGUAGACUGCAUUUAUUAGAAUGAAAACCAUAGGUUUCGGCCUAUUCGUGAGUAAUAAUAACUAAUCAUAUCGUAUGCUUAUGUAACGAUGUGUCUUUCAAGUUUCUGCCCUAUCAGCUUUCGAUGGUAGUGUAUUGGACUACCAUG
rnacentral:rRNA from 1 species